UAGGGAAUAUUGGUCAAUGGACGCAAGUCUGAACCAGCCACGCCGCGUGCAGGAUGACUGCCCUAUGGGUUGUAAACUGCUUUUAUACGGGAAGAAUAAGCCAUACGUGUAUGGUGAUGACGGUACCGUAAGAAUAAGGAUCGGCUAACUCCGUGCCAGCAGCCGCGGUAAUACGGAGGAUCCAAGCGUUGUCCGGAUUUAUUGGGUUUAAAGGGUGCGUAGGUGGCUUUUUAAGUCAGUGGUGAAAGUUUGCGGCUUAACCGUAAAAGUGCCAUUGAAACUGGAAGGCUUGAGUAUGGUUGAGGUGGCUGGAAUGUUGCAUGUAGCGGUGAAAUGCUUAGAUAUGCAACAGAACACCCAUUGCGAAGGCAGGUCACUAAACCAUAACUGACACUGAGGCACGAAAGCGUGGGGAUCAAACAGGAUUAGAUACCCCCGUAGUCC
rnacentral:rRNA from 1 species